UUCAGCUGUUGGAUUCAAGUGUGUUGGACCAGGGAGACAUCUAAGAGUUGCAGGACACUGGACCUCCAGGACCAGGACUGCCCACUCCUGAUCUAGACACAUCUCACAAGUUGUUGGACAAUUCA